AACGAUGAAGCCCUUCGGGGUGGAUUAGUGGCGAACGGGUGAGUAACACGUGGGCAAUCUGCCCUGUACUUUGGGAUAAGCCCUGGAAACGGGGUCUAAUACCGGAUAGGACUGCGCAUCGCAUGGUGUGUGGUGGAAAGCUCCGGCGGUACAGGAUGAGCCCGCGGCCUAUCAGCUUGUUGGUGGGGUGAUGGCCUACCAAGGCGACGACGGGUAGCCGGCCUGAGAGGGCGACCGGCCACACUGGGACUGAGACACGGCCCAGACUCCUACGGGAGGCAGCAGUGGGGAAUAUUGCACAAUGGGCGCAAGCCUGAUGCAGCGACGCCGCGUGAGGGAUGACGGCCUUCGGGUUGUAAACCUCUUUCGACAGGGACGAAGGGUGACUGACGGUACCUGUAGAAGAAGCACCGGCUAACUACGUGCCAGCAGCCGCGGUAAUACGUAGGGUGCGAGCGUUGUCCGGAAUUAUUGGGCGUAAAGAGCUCGUAGGCGGUUUGUCGCGUCGGCCGUGAAAACUGGAGGCUUAACCUUCAGCUUGCGGUCGAUACGGGCAGACUUGAGUUCGGUAGGGGAGACUGGAAUUCCUGGUGUAGCGGUGAAAUGCGCAGAUAUCAGGAGGAACACCGGUGGCGAAGGCGGGUCUCUGGGCCG
rnacentral:rRNA from 1 species